AACAAACGCUGGCGGCGUGCCUAACACAUGCAAGUCGUGCGAGAAAGUCCCCUUCGGGGGGCGAGUAAAGCGGCGAAAGGGUGAGUAACACGUGGGUAACCUGCCCCUUGGACCGGGAUAACCCGCCGAAAGGUGGGUUAAUACCGGAUAAGACCACGCGGACACAGGUCCGAGCGGUAAAAGAUGGCCUCUGCUUGCAAGCUAUCACCGAGGGAUGGGCCCGCGGCCUAUUAGCUAGUUGGUAGGGUAACGGCCUACCAAGGCUAUGAUGGGUAGCCGGCCUGGGAGGGUGUACGGCCACACUGGAACUGAGACACGGUCCAGACUCCUACGGGAGGCAGCAGUGGGGAAUUUUGCGCAAUGGGGGAAACCCUGACGCAGCAACGCCGCGUGAGUGAUGAAGGCCUUCGGGUCGUAAAACUCUUUUGGUGGGGAAGAAAUGCGCAGCGAUCAACACCCGCGGCGCUUGACGGUACCCGCAGAAAAAGUCCCGGCUAACUCCGUGCCAGCCGCCGCAGUAAUAC
rnacentral:rRNA from 1 species